rnacentral:rRNA from 1 species
GAUGAACGCUGGCGGCGUGCUUAAUACAUGCAAGUCGAACGAAGGUUGUAGCAAUACAUCCUUAGUGGCGAACGGGUGAGUAACGCGUUGGUGACCUGCCCCGAAGUGCGGGAUAACAGUCCGAAAGGAUUGCUAAUACCGCAUGGUUUCAUUUGGAUUAGAUGCCAGAUGAGCAAAGGCGAAAGUCGCUUCGGGAGGGGCUUGCGUCCCAUCAGCUAGUUGGUAGGGUAAUGGCCUACCAAGGCAAUGACGGGUAGGGGACCUGAGAGGGUGGCCCCCCACAAUGGAACUGAAACACGGUCCAUACACCUACGGGUGGCAGCAGUAGGGAAUAUUGGUUAAUGUGCGAAAGCGCGAACCAGCAACGCCGCGUGCACGAUGAAGGCCUUCGGGUUGUAAAGUGCUUUUUGUAGGGGAGUGAGGAAGGACAGUACCCUCAGAAUAAGUCUCGGCCAACUACGUG